AUGUAUGUAAUAAGUCAUUUUGUCAGCAGAGUCAUCUGAAGACACAUCAGCACAUACAUAUUGGGGAAAAGCCAUUAUGCUGUGAGGUAUGUAAUAAAGUCAUUCAGCCUGUGGACCCAGCUGAAGAAGCAUCAGUGCAUACAUAGUAGGGAGCAGCUGUUUUGUUGUUAUGUAUGUAAUAAGUUAUUUAGUCAGCAGAGUAAUCUGAAGACCCAUCAGCACAUACAUAGUGGCAAAAAGCCACUUUGCUGUGAUGUACUAUAUAAUAAGUUAUUCAGUCUGUGGACCCAGCUGAAUUAGCAUCAGUGCAUACAUAGUAACGAGCAGCCAUUUUGUUCUUAUGUAUGUAAUAAGUCAUUCAGUAUGCAGAGCCAUCUGAAGAAACAUCUGCGCAUACAUGUUGAUGUGUGUGGUAAAUCAUAGAGCAGUAUAGAUGGGUUUAGACUAAAGGAACAGUAUGUAACUUGUAGCAUGUCACAGUUUUUCAUGUUGUAAGUAAGACAGUUUUGCUGUGUGGCAUGCGUCAGUUUUGUAGAAUGCUACAAUAUAUUGGAGUUGGUGCUGUUGCUAACCUUUUGAACGGACAGGAAAUGAACUGAAUCCCAUGGCACAAAGCAUCUGUGCAAAUGAGUUCCAUUUGAUUCUGACUGCUGAAUGUGCACAAUGCCCCGUCUUGUUGAGUGGAAACAGACAUGACACGACAUUCUCCUACAGUUAUGAUGUUAAUUCAGCACUGGAAGCUAACGAAUAGUAGAGUGUAGUCACUGAAACUGAUCAACAGCUUAUACACAUAAUUCAACAGCAUUAUAUGCUUUUUGCUGUAUGUUAUCUAUGCUCUUCUGCCAUUACAUGUGAUUGAAUUCAUUGAUCAGUUAGUUUCAGAUUGAUAUAUCACUUGGAUUGAGUAUAUUGAGAUAGAUAUUGUGGAUUGGUCAGAUGAAUACAAACUAUGCUGUAUUGGACAUUGCAAACGAUAUAUCUGUUUGCAGGAUACUUGGUAUAUUGAUUAUAAAAAGAAAGUUUAAUAAAGGUGGUUUGAUUCUGCUUGUUGAGAAAUGAAGUAGUACAGAGAAUUUAAUUGAAAGGAUCAAGAAAGACUUGCUUCCAGUGAUGGAAGGACCACUGGGCUAAGUGUGUGGAGUCACAAGGGGCCUAGUUUGAAGGGUAUUAGAUAUUGUAACUACCCAGAUACAGAACUUUAUUUUCCCCGCCCAAGGUUGAAUAAUUUUUGGGCAGAAUAGUAUGUCUGUGGUUCAUGUAAUAUGUGUAUGAGGGAGAGUCAGCAAACAGGUCACAAAUGGAAGUAAAACAGCUAUAAUGUAUGUACAUAAUAGGUUUUCUAUGUGCAUCACUAGGUACGAGCAUAGUCCAGCCUCAUGACAGUCUAAGUAGCAGGCCUGUGUGCAUAUGUUAAGAGGCUGAUUUCAGUAGCCAAAAUGAUGACUGUGCUUGAGGGUAUACCACUGAAGUGCAGUGUUGUGUUGUGUUGUGCAUUUUCUGUGGGCAAAAGGACUGAGUCCAAAGGAUGAUCAUAAGGAAAUGUUUCCUGUUUACAUUGGGAAGUGUUUGUUGCAUAAAGUGGUUUAGAACUGGAUUGAGAAAUUCUCUCAAGACUGUUCAAAAGUUGCAGAUGAUGCCCGACCAGGUCACCCUGUUGAUGUUGCAACAGAAGCAACUGUGCGGCAGCUGAAAGAAUUGAUUCGAGCUGACAGGAGGAUGACAGUAGACAGUUGAAGUUGCAUUAGCAUAUUAUGAUUAUCCAGUGCCUCCAAAUGUGAUCUAUGUUCACCUUUCUGUCCUCUGCCUACCCAGAUAAGGGCACAGAUUUCAUCUAUGAGCUGGAGACACCCAUAGUAAGGAGUCAAUGACCCCAAUUGGCUGACUAGAGUGUUAAAAACGUUUGGUGAAGGUGACUGGCAGUUGGCGACUCUGAUAUGUCAGGUGAUCUGGAACUACUGCAUUGAAUCAGUGAAUCUCCAUGCUGCUCUGGGCAUUGAUCAAACAAAUCAGUUACUGGGAAUAUUGGUGGACUUUUUAGAUGAGGAGCGUUUAUUUGAAGUCUUGGAAGGUACAGACAUGAAUGAGGCUCUGGUUACUUCUGAACAUUAUCAAAUGUGGGAAGAAUUUGCUGGAGAAGAUUGAGACAUUCCUGAAUUCUCUAGAUUCGCCCAAACAGUUGGAACACAUGGAACCUCUACUCAGUGACCAUCAGUCCCUAGGGCACAGUAUAUCCUCUGCACAGCCUGAGUUACAACAGUAUCAGGUCCUGUAAAGAUGGGUGAGGGUGUGGGGAAAUCAUCUUUGAUAUUAUUGCAAUGUUCAGUGUCAUGAGAGUCACAAAGAAGAAUGUCUCUGUAUGACUGGACAAGCCAGGGCUCACCAGGUUUUUAUAAUGCUUUUAUGAGGAGAGGUGGUCAGAUUCACAGAAGUUAUUUUCACACCAAAGUAGAUUAUUUUUUUUGCAAGUGGAAGCACUGAUUCAGAUAAUUAUAAAAACAAAUGUAAUGUAAGAAUUCAGCUCAUUCUGCUUCGACUUCAAAAUAUGCUGCUUACAUCAGAAACUGUACUGAGUUUUAAAUCAGAAUAUAAUAUUUAACACAUACAUGUCUAUCAAUACAAAGGAUACAACAUUAUAUACAAUAUCUCAUAUUCUUUAUGUAAAAGAAUUUUGUAACAGUUUACUUGUUCACUUAUAUACAGAAUAUAUUCCAACUGUGAAGAUGUUAACAAAUUCCGUCCUUACAGUUCUUAUAAAAUAUUAAAAUAUAUAUAUAUAUAUAUAUAUAUAUACACACACACACACACACUUACUACUGCUGAAUUAUAUAAGUAAUGUGAUACUAUUUUACAGAUGAUGCUUUUAUUACAUUACGGAGAGGAUCUGUGUGCAAUAUUCUGCACUGCCUUUAGAGAUACAGUAGAACUUGGUUAUAACGUCAUCAAAGGGACCUAAAAAUAGUGUCGUUAUAAAGGAAUGUCGUCGUAACCGAAAAGGGCACUUCCACAGUAGCCUU